ACUGAGAAAGACAACAAAUGCAGAAUGCUUGGCAUGCUUUAGAAAAAAGAGGGGCACUAAUCAAACAUUAUUUUGAGACUCCAAGUCUCCAUUUGUCUUCAUCGCCCAGGAAACGUGGUGAGGACCGGCGACUGCAGUUCCAUGCCAGGCCCCCUGGCCUUUCCCCUUCUGUCUACACUGGAUCACAAGGUAGGAAAAUCAAGGUUCCAUUUCCUGCUGUCCAGUUCUAUAGAAAUGGAAAUAGAACUACAUCUAGGCCCUAGACUCCAGUUACAGGAUAAAUUGCAACAAAGACGAGGCUCAAAGGCAUUGGGGCUCAUUUGCCCAGAAGCUGGCAACAUCAUGGAAAGACAAGGGUGUGAUGAUUGUCAUUAAUCUUGUGCCAUAAAAACAAGCUCCUCAUUAGCUGAAUACUUUUUCUCACCAUCGCGCAGUUUGAGCAGCUACCACGAUGAGUGGGAUGCCUUGGGAGGGGGCUGCAGAAGCCAACGCCUGUAGCUGAUGCAAAGUGGACAUCUAGUGACCUGAUUACUUAAGCCAUUGCUAUUAAAACGGAACUUAUGUAAGAAUAAACCUGUUUAAUAAGCACUAAGCAUUCAAAUUUAUUUUAAA